rnacentral:rRNA from 1 species
AGUGAACGCUGGCGGUAGGCCUAACACAUGCAAGUCGAACGGCAGCACAGUAAGAGCUUGCUCUUACGGGUGGCGAGUGGCGGACGGGUGAGGAAUACAUCGGAAUCUACUUUUUCGUGGGGGAUAACGUAGGGAAACUUACGCUAAUACCGCAUACGACCUACGGGUGAAAGCAGGGGAUCUUCGGACCUUGCGCGAUUGAAUGAGCCGAUGUCGGAUUAGCUAGUUGGCGGGGUGAAGGCCCACCAAGGCGACGAUCCGUAGCUGGUCUGAGAGGAUGAUCAGCCACACUGGAACUGAGACACGGUCCAGACUCCUACGGGAGGCAGCAGUGGGGAAUAUUGGACAAUGGGCGCAAGCCUGAUCCAGCCAUACCGCGUGGGUGAAGAAGGCCUUCGGGUUGUAAAGCCCUUUUGUUGGGAAAGAAAAGCAGCAGGUUAAUACCCCGCUGUUCUGACGGUACCCAAGAAUAAGCACCGGCUAACUUCGUG